GACUGCUAUCGGAUUGAUACUAAGCCAUGCGAGUCAUUGUAGCAAUACAAGGCAGACGGCUCAGUAACGCGUAGUCAAUCUACCCUAUGGACGGGAAUAACCUCGGGAAACUGAGAAUAAUGCCCGAUAGAACAUUAUGCCUGGAAUGGUUUAUGUUUCAAAUGAUUUAUCGCCAUAGGAUGGGACUGCGGCCUAUCAGUUUGUUGGUGAGGUAAUGGCCCACCAAGACUAUUACAGGUACGGGCUCUGAGAGGAGUGGCCCGGGGAUGGGUACUGAGACACGGACCCAGGCCCUAUGGGGCGCAGCAGGCGAGAAAACUUUGCAAUGUGCGAAAGCACGACAAGGUUAAUCCGAGUGGUUUCUGCUAAAGAAACCUUUUGUCAGUCCUAGAAACACUAACGAAUAAGGGGUGGGCAAGUUCUGGUGUCAGCCGCCGCGGUAAAACCAGCACCUCAAGUGGUCAGGAUGAUUAUUGGGCCUAAAGCAUCCGUAGCUCGUUUUGUAAGUUUUCGGUUAAAUCCAUGCGCUUAACGUAUGGGCUGCCGGGAAUACUGCAUAACUAGGAAGUGGGAGAGGUAGACGGUACUCGGUAGGAAGGGGUAAAAUCCUUUGAUCUAUUGAUGACCACCUGUGGCGAAGGCGGUCUACCAGAACACGUUCGACGGUGAGGGAUGAAAGCUGGGGGAGCAAACCGGAUUAGAUACCCGGGUAGUCCCAGCUGUAAACUAUGCAAACUCAGUGAUGCAUUGGCUUGUGGCCAAUGCAGUGCUGCAGGGAAGCCGUUAAGUUUGCCGCCUGGGAAGUACGUACGCAAGUAUGAAACUUAAAGGAAUUGGCGGGGGAGCACCAC
rnacentral:rRNA from 1 species